AUACAGAGUCCACAUUCUUGAGGAACAGUGGUUUCUGCGGAAGUUGUGUACUCCUUAUACUUAAUCCACAAAGAAGCAGGGAUACGGGUGCAAAAGAGUGCAUCUACAAACCCAACUGCUAUUUGUUGAAACAUUCGAAAACUUCCUAACGAGGAAGUGGAAAGUUCUUGGAAUGACCCUAACUCUGGUAAUGCUGUCUCUGAGAUUAAAUAACUCUGCAGCCCAUUAAUGAAAGUGUUUUUCCCUGACAUGGCGGAUAGCCCUUUCCAAAGACCUAUAACACAAAUAAUCACAUUCAGAAAUCUAACUAUUUUCCUAACAUUAGCUGAUAAACGCUUUCGUCCUAGUAGUGCGAUUAGGGAUUUGCAUAUAACGAGAGAAUAAAGCCAUUUUUUUGACUGGUAUUUUAAAUUUAUAAAUAUUAAUUCCAAAAAAUGAAGGACAGACUCUUUGGUGGAGGGCCGUAGACCAGCUACAAUGAAGCUCAGCUCAUUCGUUAAACUGCGAGUUGUUUGAGUUGCAAUAUCUGCUUCAAGCAUCAAGCUCCACCUCGAAGUCGCUAAUUCCGACUCUAUCAUUGUGUUUAUAUUAUUCAGUGCACCAAAUAUCGAAU